UGAAUACGAGAUGCUACGGCGUCGAAGCAGUCUAUGUCAUACUUCCAAGAAAAGCUUGCACUGUCAUAAACAAAUAAUGCCUGUACCAUAACCGACACAGGUGGGUAGGUAGAGUAUACUAAGGGGCGCGAGAUAACUCUCUCUAAGGAACUCGGCAAAAUGACUCCGUAACUUCGGGAGAAGGAGUGCCUUAUUUAUAAGGUUGCAAUAACAAGAUCCAAGCAACUGUUUACCAAAAACACAGGUCUCCGCUAAGUCGUAAGACGAUGUAUGGGGGCUGACGCCUGCCCAGUGCCAGAAGGUUAAAGAAGUUGGUUAGCAUCCGCGAAGCUGAUAACUGAAGCCCUGGUGAACGGCGGCCGUAACGAUAACGGUCCUAAGGUAGCGAAAUUCCUUGUCGGGUAAGUUCCGACCCGCACGAAAGGCGUAAUGAUUUGGAUACUGUCUCGGAGAGGGGCUCGGUGAAAUAGACUUGUCUGUGAAGAUGCGGACUACCUGCACCAGGACAGAAAGACCCUAUGAAGCUUUACUGUAACCUGAAAUUGAAAUUGGACUUUACUUGCGCAGUAUAGGUGGGAGGCGUUGAGAAUAUUCUUGCGGGAUUAUUGGAGCCAUCAGUGAGAUACCACUCUUGUAAUGUUAGGUUUCUAACUUUGUAUCAUUAUCUGGUCAAAGAACAGUUUCAGGCGGGCAGUUUGACUGGGGCGGUCGCCUCCUAAACGGUAACGGAGGCGCACAAAGGUUUCCUCUGAACGGGUAGAAAUCGUAUCUAGAGUGUAAAGGCAUAAGGAAGCUUGACUGUGAGACCUACAAGUCGAGCAGGGACGAAAGUCGGUCUUAGUGAUCUGACGGUGCUGAGUGGAAAGGCCGUCACUCAACGGAUAAAAGUUACUCUAGGAUAACAGGCUGAUCUCCCCCAAGAGUUCACAUCGACGGGGAGGUUUGGCACCUCGAUGUCGGCUCAUCGCAUCCUGGGGCGGUAGUACGUCCCAAGGGUUGGGCUGUUCGCCCAUGAAAGCGGUACGCGAGCUGGGUUCAGAACGUCGUGAGACAGUUCGGUCCAUAUCCGGUGUAGGCGUUAGAAUAUUGAGAGGAGCCUUCUUUAGUACGAGAGGACCGAGAAGGACAUACCUCUGGCGUACCAGUUAUCGUGCCAACGGUAAACGCUGGGUAGCUAUGUGUGGAGUGGAUAACCGCUGAAAGCAUCUAAGUGGGAAGCCCACCUCAAGAUAAG
rnacentral:rRNA from 1 species